GCAGUAGCCGCGGGAACACAGAGGGUGCUAGCGUUAAUCGGAUUUACUGGGCGUAAAGCGUGCGUAGGCGGCUUUUUAAGUCGGAUGUGAAAUCCCUGAGCUUAACUUAGGAAUUGCAUUCGAUACUGGGAAGCUAGAGUAUGGGAGAGGAUGGUAGAAUUCCAGGUGUAGCGGUGAAAUGCGUAGAGAUCUGGAGGAAUACCGAUGGCGAAGGCAGCCAUCUGGCCUAAUACUGACGCUGAGGUACGAAAGCAUGGGGAGCAAACAGGAUUAGAUACCCCUGUAGUCCCUGUCUCUUAUAC
rnacentral:rRNA from 1 species